UGGGGAAUUUUGGACAAUGGGGGCAACCCUGAUCCAGCAAUGCCGCGUGUGUGAAGAAGGCCUUCGGGUUGUAAAGCACUUUUGUCCGGGAAGAAAUCGCACCUGAUAAUACCGGGUGUGGAUGACGGUACCGGAAGAAUAAGGACCGGCUAACUACGUGCCAGCAGCCGCGGUAAUACGUAGGGUCCAAGCGUUAAUCGGAAUUACUGGGCGUAAAGCGUGCGCAGGCGGUUGUGCAAGACCGAUGUGAAAUCCCCGGGCUUAACCUGGGAAUUGCAUUGGUGACUGCACGGCUAGAGUGUGUCAGGGGGGGGUAGAAUUCCACGUGUAGCAGUGAAAUGCGUAGAGAUGUGGAGGAAUACCGAUGGCGAAGGCAGCCCCCUGGGAUAACACUGACGCUCAUGCACGAAAGCGUGGGGAGCAAACAGG
rnacentral:rRNA from 1 species